CAACCAUACAGUAAAUCUAUGUCUUGGAAGUGCAGAUGAUACAAGCAUUACAUUCCUCCAUAGAAACUUAGGAAAUAUAGGAAGAAGAGCAGUAUAGAAUUUAUGAAUUUGGAACUUUCCAAAUGUACAAACAGAUUGAAGCCUGUUGAAUAAACUGCCUUGCAACUGAGUAUUAUCCAUCAUGAGAGCUCUACUGGCCAAUAUCUUCUUGAUG
rnacentral:lncRNA from 1 species